ensembl:lncRNA
AUCAUCCUUCACUCAAGGCUGCAGGUCAAAAAAGCAUCUGUGGGCUCCAUGGAGGAAGACCACACAUGCCCCAUGUGCCGUGACCUUUUUAGUCGAUCUCAACCCUUUCUCUGUGGCCACAGCUUUGCUUGGCAUGUGCGCAAGAGGCCUGGAGCCAGAGUAACGUCUGUGGCAAGCGAAGAUUUGUAUGCCCCCAGUGCCUGGAGGAGCAGAGAGUAGUGGUAUGUGUCUGCUGUCCGGAAGACGAGGGUAAUGCGGCCCAAGCUGCAGUGAAGACGUGCCUGCAAUGUGAGAUCUCCCUGUGUGAGCAGCAUCUGCAGCCACAUCUGCAGCGUCCUGUGUACAGCACUCACCUGUUGGUGGAGCCACUGAUGGAUGUAUCCCGCUGCAUGUGCCCUGCCCAUCUGGAGAUAUUCCGGUAUUACUGCAUGGAUGAUAGGGAAUAUGUCUGCCCAGAUUGCAUUUUGGAAGGACAGCAUGCUCAACACCAGGUCAAAGGGGUGAGAAAAGUGGAGGAGGAAUACAAAGUAAGUCAUAAUAUCUAUUGUUCUUUAAGAGAGAGUCGUGUUGUGGGAUUUAAUUAUUUUUCAGGACUGUUCACACUGAGCUUGGUUUAUUGUCCUCUUAUGUGGAGCAUUUACAUAGAGCACCAAUGGAAAAGUUGCACAAUGGAAUGCAAGAACUGUGUAAACUUCUGUGUCAAUGGCCCCUCAGUCUUGUAUUUUGAAUUCUUAAAAGAAGCAUGGGUUAAAAGGUACUCCUUCUCAUGGUGAUAAGAAGAAAAAGUCUUUAGUGACAAGCAACCAAGUUAUUCUAUUCACUUGUUUGUACCACAAUUUUAACAUUUACUGCACUUUAUGUACCUACAGCGGCUAAUGAAUCAGAAGUCUCACACAUUCACAGGAAAUAACUUAAACCACAUAAAAAA